GGCGAACCGUGCGAACGUUAUUCGGAAUUACUGGGCUUAAAGCGCGUGUAGGCGGGCCCCCACGUCGGUCGCUGAAAGCCCCCGGCUCAACCGGGGAACGGGCGGCGAAACGAGGGGCCUGGAGGGGUGUAGGGGGACCUGGAACUUCCGGUGGAGUGGUGAAAUGCGUAGAUAUCGGGAGGAACACCAGUGGCGAAGGCGACUUCUGGGCCUGUUCUUGACGCUGAGGCGCGAAAGCUGGGGGAGCAAACGGG
rnacentral:rRNA from 1 species